rnacentral:lncRNA from 1 species
AACUCACUCCAGUAAUGCCAUGCAGCCAAGACCAUAAACUUGACAAAAGCCAAAUAUUUGUUAUUAAAGACUGACCCAGCAGCUUGCGUUUUUAGACUCUCGUCAUGGGGUGGGGGGGGGUUUGUUACUAUAGGCACCACCUGCAAUUCCAGGUUUACCACCGGACCACUGCAUUUUCCAUGAACCCUAGGAUCCUUGCUGAUGUGCUUUAUGUUAAGCAGUGGGGAAGGGAAGCCAGCCUUGUGGCAUCAAGGUUCAGCUUACAAACACCCCUCCCAGUUUGGUUGACAUGCAGGGAGUAUCUAGCACAAAUACUUAUCACACAGUAAAUAUGAUGUCUCUUGUGGCUUUUUUUAAAGUACAGUUCACUACUUCCACAAUUACAGUACCACAUGUUGACGUGUGCCGCAAAAAGCAAAGAUCCUUGAGACACCCCUCCCAAAAAAAACCCAUUAUCAAAAAAUACUUGGAUAACAAGUAAUCCUUGACACAUGCAAAGCUCUGCAGUGUAGAUUAUGCCCAAGUGUUUUCAUUAAGCAAUCAUCUUGAUUUCCUUUGCUUCCUGGCAAUUAAUUACACCUAAAACUUGAUGUGUGAGACCAUGCCAAAAAUUAUUGAGAAACUAUUGGGUUGCUUUCAAGAUUAGAGGACAUAACCUACACCCUUGUCUGGAGAGGUCGGGGCACCAUCCCAGGCCUGAUUUGUUUCCAUAUACAGUACAAUUUUAUCUACUCACUAUAUAGUUUUUACAUCCUUUGGAGAGCAAAGGCUAUAGCAGAACUCAACUCCAGCCCUGCUUCACCAUUACCACGGAUGAAGUUCAGAAACUAUUUCCUCCCCCCCCCCUUAGUUCUUUACAGGAGGAGAUGGGGAUUUGGAUUGUUAUCCCAUUGGACCAAGUCCCUGCCAGGAUUGGACAUUCUUAAUCAACACAAGAAGGCCAAGGAUGGAGACUGCGAUCAAGGACAGUUCAUGCCUUCUAUCUGUACAUUCAAUUCUAUUAUCCCUAUUUGGACCUGUGAGCUAUCAAGGUCAGUUUUAUUUGUACAUUGCUUUCCCACAUGAAUGUUUCCAAAGCAGUUCACAAUCUUGGCAAUGAAUAACAAUAGAAAUUCACACAAUAAAAUGAUUAUAAAUGUCCA